rnacentral:sRNA from 1 species
AUGUGGCACUCGUCCACUGCGGUUUUGAGCGCGCUGUCCGCGCCCACCUGACGAUUGCUCGCCACGUGGUGUAAGCC